rnacentral:piRNA from 1 species
UACUGGUGUGAUCAAAUAUCAAGGAGUUUC